GUCCUCACUUCAGCUGCACAUAUACUAAAAUUGAAAUGAUACAGAGAAGAUUAGCAUGGCCCCUGUACAAGGAUGACAUGCAAGUUUAGGAAGCAUUCCUUAUUUUU